GGAAACAGCACCGCAACCUUUAUGCGCUUUCAUCAAGCCCUCUUACUUUUGUCUCCAGGCUGCUUGUUCAGAAUGGCCGCACUCUGAAGUUUAAGGCAUGGUCGAAAUCACAAAUCAGCAAGGAGCCGUCCUUGCCUUUGUGUCUCUGGCCACACUCGGGUUAGUGUCUGCCAUCUGCUUGGGCUGCAGAAAAAAAUCCAAGAUAGUUCAGGAGGAUAACCAGCUUUAUAUUCCACAACUAUUUCAGCGAGAGGGGAGCAGAUUCGCUGUGACACGAUCAAAAACAGUGACCAGGCCUAACCAGAUAACCUCAGAUCAGUCUCCGAGCUUCGGGAACACAGGUCAUGCGUCUCACAUCCAACCACAGGCAGUUCAGGACACUCACAGCAGUUACCAGAACCUUCCCAACUGUAAGUCUAUAUUUCAGUUUUCUUCCAAUUAACUAAAAAAAAUACAUCUGCAGAUUUUCCAUUUAUUAAUUGAAAAGUUACUUUAUUUCAGUAAUUCUUUUCCAAAUCUGAAACUUAUCUAUUAUAUAGAUUUGUAUAGGCUAUUCUAAGUGUUUUUUCCUUUUAUUGUUGAUGAUUAUGGCUUACAGCCAAUCAAAACCUAAAAUUAUCUCAUGAAGAGAGAGUCAUCUGCUGGUGUUGAUCCACUGUGUUUUAUUAUCAAGUCUAAGGUCAGUGCAGAGUUUUCCCACAAAAUCUUACAGCACUUCAUGCUUACCUCUGCUGACAACUUUUAUAAAGAUGGAGAUUUCAUUUUCCAGCAGGACUUGGCACACUGCCUAAAGUACCAAUUGGUCUUUUCCCCAGCUGACACACAACCGACCUUCAACAUUAUAAUGUGGUUGAAAUGUGGUUAAAGUAAUGUUUGUUGUUGUUUCAAUGUUAAAACAAAGUUUAAUGUUAAAUGGUUGUGCAAACAUUGAAAUGUUAUUGUUGAAUCAAUAUAAUGUCCUCAACCUUCUGCCAUUAAAUUACCAUUUUAUUUAUUCAUGGAGGAAU
rnacentral:lncRNA from 1 species